rnacentral:lncRNA from 10 species
CCAGGGGUUGGGGCACACUUAGAAAGUGCUGUUUCUUCAGAUUGUUUUUGAUACAUUUGUGCCUUUGAGGCUUAAGAUUUUUUUUUUCCAGGUAUAGGGAGAGUAUCUCUGGAAUGAAGGCUUUUUAACCUGUUGCAGGGAAGAAGGGCAAUGGAAGCCCAGAUAAAGGUGCAUAUACACAGAGAUGUAGAGGAAAAGGGAUUUGUCUCAUUUUUUUCACUACCAUAAGUAAUCCUAUGCCUUUUCUUUUUCUUUCUUUCUUUUUUUUUUUUAAAGUAGAGCUGAGAUCUCCCUAUGUUGCCCAAGCUGUUCUUGAACUCCUGAGAUGAAACAAUUCUCCUGCCUUGACUUCCCAAAGUGCUGGGAUUCCAGGUAUGAGUCACUGUGCCUGGCCUUCCCAUGGUUUUUCAAAGGCAAGGAAUGUCUUGAUAUGCUUUCUCUUUCAGAAUAUCUUUGACAUUGUUUUAUAUCUACAGAACUGAAAAGGCACAUUAAAGAUAUUUCCAGAAUAAAUAAGUCCGUCUUCAAUGUUAUUUCAAUGUGAUGUUUCUACUGCUACAACAAGGAAAAUUCAAAUUUUAAAUAAGUAGAUUGAGAAAUAGAAAAAUAGAAAAUUGAUGGAGAUAAAAUAUUAUUAAAGGAUUAGAUUGGAAAAACGUGGCAUUUCACUCUGGAGCAUUCAUUUUUACUUACUUGGAUUAAGACACCCAUUUCACAAGUGACUAAUACUCAGGGAUGGUCUAAGAAGAGGCAACAUUGCUUGUAAGUAUCACAUUGCUUAUCACCUCAGAGUGGUGGGUUUAUAGAAACUUUAAAUGUGAAGUUAAGAUAUUUAAUGCCAAAAAUAUGGAGAAAGAGAAAUGUGUUGGCUUGCACAAUCUGAUAAAUAUGUGAAAAUGAAAAAAGUGGGAGGGGGUCUCCUUGGAAAGUUUCUUAGGGUGGGAAACAGAGGGUGGGAUUAAUGCUAUAACACAACUCUUUGACUUUCUUAUUUCUUAAAAUGUUUCUUUUGUGUUACCAAAUCCUGUGCUACCAGAGUUUGGGUUGAAUUCUUAGGUCCUGGCUGAAGGGGAUGUUUCAGCAAAAGACGCUAUUGGUAUAACUUUAAAUCUUCUAACACAUUUCUGUGCAAGGUAGAGGACCCAACAGUGGUUAAGCUGAGGGUUUGCAGCAAAUGGGGUUGCCCUAUUACUUUAUGUAUUACAAAAACAAAUCUUGCCAUGGGAGAGUAUGGUUUAAACCAGGGAGAAGUGAAGAAAGGGAGAAGUGGUUGUCAAAAGGAAAGAAAUCAGGAACUAGGUUACUGUGCAAAAAAAAAAAAAAAGGAUAUAAUUAUUUUUUUCAAGGGCAUUUUAGGAGAAGAAAAUAAUGCUUAGCUAAUCCUCUCUGAUUUCUGCAUGAGUGAUGGGCAAUUCUGAAAUAAAUGACUGGAUUUUUUUUUUUUUCUGAAAAUGAGAGUUGGACUUAAACUAAUUUCCAAGUUUUCCUUGAAAAUUCCACCUGGGUAAUCUGGUGAAAAGAUAUAAUGCAGUGUUUUCUAAUGGCUAGCCUAAAUGGCAACUUUCAUUUUGUUCAUAGCUCAUGGGCUAAAGUUACCACUUUUUUGUGGAAAUGAGAGGCAGACAAUAUUUCUGAAUCACUUGGGCCACAGAUUGUACAAUAAUUGAGGCCUAUGCAUUGAGUGACUAUGAACAAGACUGACAAUCUGUUAAGGUAGUUGGCUAGAUGUGAGAGGUGACAUAUUAUUGAAGCUUAUCUUUGUAUGCUGGAGCUUAUUCUGCUCAUUUGCAUUCACCAAAUGAAUGUGGAUGGGGCUUUUAAAAGACAAAAUAAAAGGAAGGUGCUGGUAAUGAGAACAUGGUGAUUUCAGUGGUGGCACCCAAAAAGAUAUGUCCAUGUCCUAAUUCUUAGAAACUGUGAAUGUGAUAUUUUUUUGAAAAAGGAUCUUUGCAAAUAAAAUUAAAGAUCUUAAGGUAAAUCAUACUGUAUUAUCUGGAUAAGCCCUAAAUACAAUGUCAAGAUUCCUUUUAAGAGACACAGAGAGGAGAAAUGAAGCGAGAAGAGGAAAAGGCUAUGUGAAAGCAGAAGCGGAGGUUGGAGUUAUCCUACCACAAGCCAUGGAAUGCCUAGAGCUACCAGAAACAGAAGAAGAAAGUUCUUCCCUCAUCUUCAGAAGGAACACAGCAUUGCAGAAAGCUUGAUUUUAAACUUCUAGGCUCUAGAAUAGUAAGAGAAUAAAUUUCUGUUUUGUGAAGUCACCUAGUUUGUGGUAAUUUGUUAUAGAAGCCCUGGGAAAUGAGUACAGGAAGUAUGAUUUGGUUUGAAUUUCAGCUCAAUUUAUGUUGUUGAUUUCCAUUGUUUUCCAUUAUGUUGAAUGUGUUUGGCCUGUUUUCUUUGUUGUUGUCAUUUGGUAUUUGUUAAUAUGUCCAUUAGGGCAAAAAAUGAUGAUAAGCAUUUUGUAUAUAUAAUAUAUGGUUUCUCUUAUGUAGAUAUAACAUAUGCUUUCCCUUUUUUGGAGGCAUAAUUCUAUAUUGCUGUUGUUUUGUUG